CGUACCAAUACCAGGCUUGGAGAAGCAACUCCAAAUCUUCUUCUUCGGUCUCUUUUCUCCCUACAUUCUUAGUCUCGCCUUUUCAAUCCAAACUGAUACCGAUAACUUCGGUUUCAAAUCCAAGAAGCAAAGAGGAAAAAUGGUCGGAGCCUCCCACAGUUCCGGCGGUAUCGCCGCCAGAUCUGACCGAACUGCAACCAUCAAGUUUCUCUGCAGUUAUGGAGGCAAGAUCCUUCCUCGUUAUCCUGAUGGCAAACUCCGUUAUAUUGGUGGUGAAACUCGCGUUCUCGCCGUCGAUCGUUCCAUUCCUUUCUCUGAACUGUUGUUGAAGCUGGGACAAUUGUGUGGAACUUGUGUGAGUCUUCGUUGUCAAUUGCCUUCUGAGGAUCUGGAUGCUUUGGUAUCGAUAACCUCCGAUGAGGACCUCGCAAAUCUCAUCGAAGAAUACGAUCGAGUAGCCUCGCCGCCGUCUUCUUUGAAGAUCAGAGCGUUCCUUUCACUGCCUAAAUCCGUGAAAAAAUCUCCUCUCUCUUGUUCGUCGGCCUCUUCAUCAUCGUCGUCCUCAAAACCUUCGUCUCCGACAACUGCUAUAUCCUCCCCAAGGAUCUCAACGCAGGUGCCUGACUAUCGUGUCCAUCAGAUCCCAACGCCAGUGAGGUUUUCGUACCGCUGGAAGAAGUCUCAGUCGAAGAUUCCUCACUGCUCAUAUCAUCUUCAAGGGAACCCUAGCCACAUCUACCUCAUCCACAAUGGCAAUCACUGGCAAUAACACCAACUAGAAUGAGGGAAAUCAAAGCAAACAUAAAUAUAAGAUAUAACGAAAUAGAAAAAGGAAAUUCCAAGCACCAAAAAGGAUGUAUGAUCCGUAGCUAUUGUGAUGGAUAUAACAGAUGAUUGCAUUGGAUCAAACUCAACCUUGAAAACGACAAGGAACUACGACUGUGCUUCAGCAAUUGUUUGUACAUGUGAAGAAAAUCUACUAUUGUCAGAACCAGAGAUCUCUGAGACCCGUUUGCUCUGUUUUCUGUACCAAGAGUUUCUUUCACAAUCACAGGUGCAAUAUAAAUAUUUAUCAUGCUCUCCACAGUCGUGCCCAUCAAACUGUCUUCUUCUACUCGAGUAGAUUCCCUACGUCUAGGAGCGGAUGAAUGAGUAAUAGGUAUGAUGUACAUAUAAUGUAUCUAGUUACUGUUGCUCGAUCUUUGUGAAUUAUAAAACGAUUAGACGGUAUUUAAAAUAAAUUUAAAUUCAAAACUUUUUCAGAUAGGUUGAUGUCAUGCAGUAGGGGUUCAGUAUUACAAGGCGAUGAGAUAUCCUAUUGGAGAUUAAAUUGUCUCAUUUACUUGUCAGGAAAAUACCACUCACCAAUGUGAAAAUAAGUCCACCAUAUGUUUUGACCGUUUGUACAAAAAUUGAGCUUUGUAAGGCUCCAAAUAAUUUGAAACAUAAAAUAUUAUAUUAAAAAAUAAUAAAGACAAAUACAUUAAAAAUAUGUAUACAAAAUUCAAUUUGGUUCAGUAUUAGUCUACCUGAUUAGGUUGAAGCAGAUUGAAUAUGAUCCACCCCAAGAAUACGGUCAUGCUCCACUCCAAGAAUAUCAUCAUGCAUCAUAGAGGUUGGCUAAUAAUGACAGAAAACAGACUUCCUCAUCUGCAUCAUCCCAUGAAAUUGUGUUUCUAACCAAACUUAACCUCAAUCCUUUAAUUUUAUCAACGAGUGGGGUCACAUGGGAUCAUAGUUCACAAAUAUUUAGCCAGUCAUCAUGCAUUACUCUGGUAACUGGCUUGCCAUCAAUAAGUAACCUGAACAACAUUUCUAUGUCAUGUAGAGUGAUAGCUCACUUUUUAGUGAGCACAUGAAAUGUAUACAUCUCAGGCUUCUAUCUCUCAAUCUGUGUUGUGCUGAUAUGCCAAUCUAGCCAAAUGAAUCAGAAUGGUUGUAUUAUAGGGUGGAGAGGGAUAGUGCAAUGAACAAUCGCCUCUUGAUUUGCCAGUGGUACGAUCUUUCCAUACAACUGGUGAUCGAUGAAUCGAUUGCUUAUACAAAACAUCGGGACCAAUCGGUCUUGGAUUUAAAGUCAUGAUCUAAAAAACAAACUAUUAUUUCAACUGUUCAAUCCAUCUCAUUAUGGUGUCGCGAACUCUUUGGUAAGGGGGUUAGCAUGUAAGACAGACAUAUUAGGGUGCGUAAUCCAGUACAAGUUUAAAUUGUACAAGUUUAAAUUGAGGAGAGUAGCAUGUAGCGUAUGUUGAUAAUUUAUAAUAGUCUUUAAUAAAAUCUUCGUCAUUGAGUAAACCGUCAUAAAAUGCGAGUAUGGAAGUCAAAUGCUUGCAACUUGUUACAUGAAUAGUAUUGUUCAGACUCAUUUAUUAAUUUUUUCAUGUGUACCUGAAUAUUUACUUAUUUGAUAUUACAAAUAUAUUUGAAGCAAAUUGUUGAUUAUUAAAAAAAAUAUUAUCGGGUGUAUUUAUCUCGACACUCAAAAGCAACUCUCUAUUUCUUUCUUUUUUUUUUUUUCAAAAUAAUUUAUACACUUGAAGAAUCUUAUUUGAACAAGAGUAUUUAUCGGCAACAUCCUUUAAGGACUCAAUUUAUGCAGAUAGGUUUGUCGUCAUUUACCCAUACCUGAAUCUUCCAUUGUGUGCUUGAAUCCAUUGCUCAAUACCAAUUUGUUAAAAAAACUCAGAUAGUUUUGAUUUAUUCUUUUGAUGUCCUCAAUGACUUUAUUAAACUUUCGAAUUUGGAAUUGACAUUUGACAUGAUAAACAUAAUUCUUUAAUGUGUUGAAUUUGCAUUUUUUUUGUUGAAGUUGCUAACAAUAUAUUGUAAGCAGAAUCAAUGGUGACAUUUUGGUCUUGUCCAAUCAUUUGCUGGAUUGUUCACUAUUGAGAUAAUGCCAGCAUGUCGAUUCGAAAUUAAAGGUGUAAAAUGUUUUAAGAAUCAUUCCCAUGAGUUUGCAGACUCCUCAUUUACAAUGGCGAAUGCAAGAGAAAGAAGAUGUUCGUUUGGAUCUACUGAUUGCUACAUCAGUAAGUUUCUAUACAAGUGGGUACUGUCUAUUUGAAUUACCGAUUGACAUCUAUUGAAAGCUUCUAUAUUAGGACCAAAUGCCUAAAAUGCAGAAGUAAAGAUGACACGUCUUUCAGUUGACGUUUCCUUCUCUCUCCACUCCAUACAUGUUCUCGGAUUAAUCUGCUUAACCAUAUAAAGCCACCUAGACAACAAUUUGUAUGACUCACCCCAGUCACUGAACAUUUUAGCCAAUAUCUUUCUUUGUCCUCCCACACCUUAUGGUAAGGAACAUGAAAUCCAAAUUUUAUUUUUAUCU